rnacentral:rRNA from 1 species
AGCAGCCGCGGUAAAUUCCAGCUCCAAUAGCGUAUAUUAAAGUUGUUGCAGUUAAAAAGCUCGUAGUUGAAUUUCGGGAUCAAUUUAUCGGUCGUGCCUACGGUAUGAACUGGUACAAUUGGUUUCUCCCUUCUGACGAAGCAUGAUGUCAUUAAUUUGGUGUCGUGGGGAAUCAGGACUGUUACUUUGAAAAAAUUAGAGUGUUUAAAGCAAGCAUUAGCUUGAAUACAUUAGCAUGGAAUAAUGAAAUAGGACGUUUGAUCCUAUUUCGUUGGUUUCUAGGAUCGACGUAAUGAUUAAUAGGGAUAGUUGGGGGCAUUAGUAUUCAAUUGUCAGAGGUGAAAUUCUUGGAUUUAUUGAAGACUAACUACUGCGAAAGCAUUUGCCAAGGAUGUUUU